rnacentral:misc_RNA from 1 species
AAGAGUAUAACAUCAUUUAAUGAGAAAACUGAAGAGUAUUGUUAUGUGUCGAUCUCAGGUGCAGUUUCAGAUGAUGCUGUGUUGAAUUUGUCACUUACAUUAGUCAGAACUGAAUGAAAGUUGAGGCUUUUUGCAUUUUGUGAUCUGAACAAGCAAAGGAACUCCGCUUUUUUGGCAUAAGAAUGAUCUUUGAUCUCUUCAUGUAUAAAUUUCAGAGCUAUUCUUCGUCAAAUCUAUA